AGGGAAAGGGGAUGUGAUUAAAAAAAUUGGGUUCAAUUUUUCUCAUUUGAAAUUUCAUAAAUAAAAAGAAAAUUUCUUCAAACAUUUUAUGCCCCACCUACGAUAGUAGAGGGGCAUUAUGUUUUCUGGUCUGUGCGUCCGUCCGUCCGUCCGUCUGUCCGUUCGUUCGUCCGUCCGUUCGUCCGUCCGUCUGUCCCGCUUCAGGUUAAAGUUUUUGGUCAAGGUAGUUUUUGAUGAAGUUUAAGUCCAAUCGACUUCAAACUUAGUACACAUGUCCCCUAUGAUAUGAUCUUUCUAAUUUUAAUGCCAAAUUAGAGUUUUUACCCCAAUUUUACGGUCCACUGAACAUGGAAAAUGAUAGUGCGAGUGGGGCAUUCGUGUACUGAGGACACAUUCUUGUUUUGAGAGGAUUAAUAUUCAACAGCAUAGUGAAUUGCUCUAAGAGAAAACAAAAAUUUUAAGUUCAUUAGAACACAUUCAUUCUGUGUCAGAAACCUAUGCUGUGUCAACUAUUUAUCACAAUCAAAUUUAGAGCUGAAUCCAGCUUGAAUGUUGUGUCCAUACUUGCCCCAACCGUUCAGGGUUCAACCUCUGCGGUCGUAUAAAGCUACGCCCUGCGGAGCAUCUGGUU
rnacentral:lncRNA from 1 species